rnacentral:rRNA from 1 species
CUUACCGGGUCCGGACACACUGAGGAUUGACAGACAUACCUUUGCCACUACAAUAAAAAGCAACCUCUAAGCCAUAUGCGCAAGCGGUCACUUCAAAAAGCAGCAGCACUUAAGGAAAGACGCUAGAUCUUUCAUGAUUAUGUGAUAAGUGGUGCAUGGCCGUUCUUAGUUCGUGGAGUGAUCUGUCUGCUUAAUUGCGUUUCGCAAUAUAUAAAUCUGCGCAGUGCCCUUUUUCGCUGGGUGCGGCGUAAGAUCUCGAAAGCAACGAACGAGAUCGCAACCUUUAGUUGACCUAUGUAGCGGGUCAUAAGAAACUAAACUAAAGGGACUGCUGCCAUAUGUGCUUAAACCAGAGGAAGGUUGCGGCAAUAACAGGUCUGUGAUGCCCUUAGAUGUUCCGGGCUGCACACGUGCUACAAUGAUCAUUUCAUUAAGCAUAAAGCGUAGGCAACGGUAACUUCUAUUACCCCAGCUAUACACA